UUAAUUACAAAUUUAAUUAGGGUGGACAAAUUUGAUUAUGGUGGGUGACAGUGAUUACAAUGACCUAAAAUUAUUUUUUUUAAGUUAACUCGAACAAAUAUAUUUGAUUUAAAUUCUAUCUCACUCGACUUGAUUCGAAAAAAAUUCAAAUAGAGUUAGGAUGAUAAAAUAGGAUUCGUCAACUCGAUUAACUUAAAAUUUAUUCAUUCGAUUCGAUUCGAUUAAACGUUCAUCCCUAAUCACU
rnacentral:lncRNA from 1 species